rnacentral:rRNA from 1 species
UACAGAGGUCUCAACCGUUGUUCGGAUUCAUUGGGCGUAAAGGGUGCGUAGGCGGUCGCGCAAGUCGGAUGUGAAAUCUCAGGGCUCAACCCUGAAACUGCAUUCGAUACUGCGUGGCUAGAGUGCUGGAGAGGAGACUGGAAUUUACGGUGUAGCAGUGAAAUGCGUAGAUAUCGUGAGGAAGACCAGUGGCGAAGGCGGGUCUCUGGACAGUUCCUGACACUGAGGCACGAAGGCUAGGGGAGCAAACGGG